rnacentral:rRNA from 1 species
GAUGAACGCUGGCGGCGUGCCUAAUACAUGCAAGUCGAGCGAACAGACGAGGAGCUUGCUCCUCUGACGUUAGCGGCGGACGGGUGAGUAACACGUGUAUAACCUACCUAUAAGACUGGGAUAACUUCGGGAAACCGGAGCUAAUACCGGAUAAUAUAUUGAACCGCAUGGUUCAAUAGUGAAAGACGGUUUUGCUGUCACUUAUAGAUGGAUCCGCGCCGCAUUAGCUAGUUGGUAAGGUAACGGCUUACCAAGGCAACGAUGCGUAGCCGACCUGAGAGGGUGAUCGGCCAGAUGGGAACUGAGACACGGUACAGACUCCGACGGGAGGCAGCAGUAGGGAAUCUUCCGCAAUGGGCGAAAGCCUGACGGAGCAACGCGGCGUGAGUGAUGAAGGUCUUCGGAUCGUAAAACUCUGUUAUUAGGGAAGAACAAAUGUGUAAGUAACUAUGAACGUCUUGACGGUACCUAAUCAGAAAGCCACGGCUAACUACGUG